UACGUAGGGAGCAAGCGUUAUCCGGAUUUAUUGGGUGUAAAGGGUGCGUAGACGGAGAAGCAAGUUAGUUGUGAAAUCCCUCGGCUUAACUGAGGAACUGCAACUAAAACUACUUCCCUUGAGUACUGGAGAGGAAAGUGGAAUUCCUAGUGUAGCGGUGAAAUGCGUAGAUAUUAGGAGGAACACCAGUGGCGAAGGCGGCUCUCUGGUCUGUAACUGACGCUGAGGCUCGAAAGCAUGGGUAGCGAACAGG
rnacentral:rRNA from 1 species